GUCGAACGAGAAGCAGGAGCUUGCUCCUGUGGAAAGUGGCGGACGCGGUGAGUACAACAUAGGAAAUCUGCCUUAGGGUGGGGGACAACAGAGGGAAACUUCUGCUAAUACCCCAUAUGAGUUUGGUUGAAAUACCAAUCUUGAAAGUUCCGGCGCCCUAAGAUGAGCCUGUGCCUGAUUAGCUAGUUGGUGGUGUAAUGGACUACCAAGGCGACGAUCAGUAGCUGGUUUGAGAGGAUGAUCAGCCACAAUGGGACUGAGACACGGCCCAUACUCCUACGGGAGGCAGCAGUAGGGAAUUUUGCGCAAUGGGCGAAAGCCUGACGCAGCAACACCGCGUGAAUGUUAAGCCCUUCGGGGUGUAAAGUUCUGUCAAUAGGGACGAAUUUUGACUGUACCUAUAAAGGAAGCACCGGCUAACUCCGUGCCAGCAGCCGCGGUAAUACGGGGGGUGCAAGCGUUGUCCGGAAUCAUUGGGCGUAAAGCGUUCGUAGGCGGCAAGGUAAGUCUGAUGUUAAAGCCCGGGGCUCAACUCCGGUUCGGCAUUGGAUACUAUCUAGCUAGAAUGUGGUAGAGGUAAAGGGAAUUCCUGGUGUAGCGGUGAAAUGCGUAGAUAUCAGGAGGAACAUCGGUGGCGAAAGCGCUUUACUGGACCAUUAUUGACGCUGAGGAACGAAAGCCAGGGGAGCAAAUGGGAUUAGAUACCCCAGUAGUCCUGGCCGUAAACGAUGGAUACUAGGUGUUGCGGGUAUCGACCCCUGCAGUGCCGAAGCUAACGCGAUAAGUAUCCCGCCUGGGGAGUACGCA
rnacentral:rRNA from 1 species